rnacentral:rRNA from 1 species
GUGCACCAGUCGAGAAUUCUCUCCAAUGUGUGAAAACAUGAGAGGGGUAUUCCAAGUUCCCUUGUUAUGCAAGGGAUUUUCUUUGGUCCAAGACGCCAAAGGAAUAAGAGCUGGGUAAGACCGGUGCCAGCCGCCGCGGUAACACCGGCAGCUCGACGUGGUGGCCACUAGUUAUUGGGGCCUAAAGCGUUCGUAGCCGGGCAGGUAAGUGCUCUGGUAAAUCCCAUAACUUAAUUAUGGGGCUUCAGAACAUACUGCCUGCCUUGAGACCGGGAGAGGCUGGAGGUACUUUCGGGGUAGGGGUAAAAUACCUAUAAUCCCGAAGGGACCACCGGUGGCGAAGGCGUCCAGCCAGAACGGGUCUGACGGUGAGGGACGAAACCCAGGGGAGCGAGUCGGAUUAGAUACCCCUGUAGU